CCAGGGGAGGAAAAUGAGGUUGAAGGAGUUAAGAAAAUGUGGGGUUGUUGACAAAUAUUUCAGUUCUCCUCCUCUUCUGGCAUAUUAAGAAGCUUGCACUUCUCCAUAUCUUCUUAGUUUAGGCGUGACCUGCUUUGGUCAGUGAAAUGUGAACAUAUUUGUAUACAAUUUGCUAUGUUCCUUUCCCCAUGUGUUAGUGAAACCCUUGUCAAAAUGGAGCUUUUGUCACCUGAAUCCUUGAGUGACUAUGCUCGACAGUGGCCCUCUGCUGGACCAGCAUUGGACAUACAAAGGAAAUUUUUGUCCUGGCAAGCUCUUGAGAUUCAGGUUGAGGAUAGAGAAGGAGGUUGUUUGUAGCCAUAAUAUAAUUUAUCCUAAACUUAAUAGUUUGCAUAAUAACUUGCUCAAACUCCUAUAGCCUGUUGGUGCCAGAUAUAUGUCUCAAAUCCAGGUCUCUCUGACCCAAUAGGUCUUUUUUUUUUUCAUUUAUUAUGUCUCUUGGUAUUCCAUGACCUGCAGAAAACUAAACUUAGUUUCUUGGUUUGCCUUUUAGUUUUAUAAUAGUAAUGAAAGCACUUAAGAAGUACAAUCUUGAUGUCUAUGAUUAAUCCAAGAUUAAUAGUAUGUGGAAGAAGAGUUCCUGUCAUUCUCUGGUCCAUGCAUUUCGUCUGCAACUUAAAAUAUCAUGAGCUCAUGGCCUCUUUUCUACCUUCCUUAAUUCUGAGAUUCAUACUGUGCCAACAGACUGUUAACAAUAAUGUUAGCUAAAGAAUGCUAAUUUGUCCUGAGUGUUACUUAAUUUCUGACUGUCCUUAUAGUGUUCAUGGUGUAAGUUGGUAUAUGAUUUCACCUUUUUUAGGUUUAAUUGUCCCUCAGACACUAUGACUCUGUACAGUCACUCCAUCAUCCAUGUAUACUUUGCUCUCUCUGUAUAUGCAAUCACCAAAUUUUCCAGGUUCUCAUGUUUAAAUUCAGUUAUGGGAAUUUCCAAAUCCACCAGCCAAGUACACUAAACAAGUUAGCUGUGUAGCACUGACUACCAUGACAAUGAACAUGAGAGAUUCUGAAGUUCUUUCCUGAGGAUUACCCUCCUGAAACCUAAGUAAACACAAGAUCCUAGGACCCAUUGUGUAAGUUUUUGAAUGACUAACGGGGCAAUAGGUGUUCCUACAAGAUGAAAAAGACAAGGAAAUUUCAUCCCUUAAACUAGCAGAGUUACCUUUUUAAAGACUUGAGGUUUUCAUUAUUACUUGCCAAAAAAUGACUGUUAGGUUACUUUAACUUUGUAAGGUUACUUUAUUCAUUUAGUCCCCAAAUCCCUAGCCCUUCAUUCAAUAGUUUUUUUUUGGAAACAUUUUAAGUUUAUUUGUUUAUAAUCCUGCUUCAUUACAGAAAUGAUCAGAGGCAAUCACUAUGUGUAUGUUUAACCUUGGCAAAUAGUUGUUAGAUGAUACUGAGCUAACUUGUAAAAUGAUCUAGAUGAUUGUGGUAGGUUGUAUAGUUGUUUUCUAACUUUCUAUUUUGAAAUAAGUGUAGGUUUUUAGGAAGUUGCAAAAAUAGUAUGGAGUGAUCCUAUGUACAUCCAGUUUCCCCCCAAUAGUUACAUCCUUCAAAGUUAUAGUACCUUAUCAAAACUAGAAAACAAUGUAUUUGUGUAGUUCUGUGCCACUUUAUUAGAUGUAUAGAUUCAUGUAAGCACCACUGCAAUUAAAAUAGAGACUAUUACAUCAUCACAAAGAUCUCACUUUUUAUGGUCUUACUCACCCCCUCUUCUCUCCACCAUCUCUAAUUCCUGACAGUCACUAGUCUGCUCAUUAUAAUUGUGUCAUUUCAAAAACAUUCUAUAAAGUAUUAUUUUUUUAAACUGAUGAACAUUUUAAAAGUUAUUUCUCGGGGCACCUGGGUGGCUCCGUUGGUUGAGUAGCUGAAUUUUGAUUUUGACUCAGGUCAUGAUCCCCCAGUCAUGGGAUCAAGCCCCGUUUUGGGCUCUGCACUGAGCAUGGAGCCUGCUUAAGAUUGUCUCUUUCUCUCUCUCACUCUUUCCUCCACUUACACACUCUGUCUUUCCCUCUAAAAUAAAAAGUAAGUACAUAAAUAAAAGUCAUAUCUCAUUUGUUAAUUAAAACACUCAAAAUCUGGGAUAUCUCAAACAAUGUUUGAGAUCAUUAUAAACAAUGAUUAGUAUACAAAUUUGUUUUGGGAUACCAUUUUCAAUCAUUUUUUGUUUAAUCUACAUAUGUGUUAAAUUUUUAAGGUAUCUUAAAGGAUGAAGACUUUCUUGAUGAACAGCAUCAGCAUUUUCUGUUGAUAAUAGCAACUGGCAAAUAAAGACUAUAAUGACACUGCUGUGCAGUGUGACUCUUCAAGUAGGCCCUGGAUUUGGUCUAAGACUUGCUUAAUUAUGGUGAGCUUUUUGGUUGUUUCAUUCUGGGAGUUGGGAUUUGAUAUAAAUACAGAUGUGGCCAACUUUCAUUUAAAAAUCCUUGAACUUCCAUGCAGAACAACAUGGUCAUUCACUGUAUUAAGCUAAUAUGGGUGUGCAUUAUGUAGGAGAAUUUUACAGAAGAUAAAUUCCUAUAAGAUAUAUUCAUUGCUGAAUAGACAUUUUCCAAAGAAGACAUGCAGAUGGCUGAUAGACACAUGAAAAGAUGCUCAACAUCACUAAUCAUCAAGGAAAUGUAAAUUAAAGCCACAAUGAGAUCUUAUCUUACACUUGUCAGAAUGGCUAAAAUCAAAAACACAAGAAAUGACAAAUAUUGGUGAGGAUGUGGAGAAAAAGGAACCUCUUCAUGCACCUUUGGUGGGAAUGCAAAUUGAUACAACCACUGUGGAAAACAGUAUGGAGAUUCCUCAAAGAAUUAAAAAUAGAAUUACUAUAUGAUUCAGUAAUUCCACUACUGAGUAUUUAUACCUAAAGACAAUGAAAACACUAAUUCAAAAAGAUGUCUGCACCCCUUUGUUUAUCACAGCAUUGUUUACAAUAGCCAAGAUAUUUAAACAACCCAAGUGUUCAUCCAUAGAUGAAUGGAUAAAAGAGAUGUGAGAUAUAUGUACAAUGGAAUAUUACUCAGUUACAAAAAAGGAAUGAAAUGUUGCCAUUUGCAACAACAUGGAUGUUCCUAGAGAGUAUAAUAUUAAGUGAAAGAAGUCAAUCAGAAAAAGAUAAAUACCAUAUUAUUUCACUCGUAUGUGGAAUUUAAGAAACAAAACAUACAAAAAUACAAAAAAAAAAAAAAAAAAAAACAGACUCUUAAAUACAUGGAACAAACUGGUGGUUGCCAGAGGGGAGGUAGGAGGGAGGAAUGGGUGAAAUAAAUAAAGGGGACUAAGAGUACACUUACCUUGAUGAGCACUCAGAAAUGUAUAGAAUUAUUGAAUCAUCAUACUGUACACCUGAAGCUAAUAUAACACUGUAUUUUAAUUUUACUUCAGCAAAAUAUAUAUUCAUUGAUAUCUUAAUUAUAAAUAAUCUUUUUAUGCUCAUCUUAUGUGAUGAUUCCUCCCUGUUCAGUCUAUCAGGUCACAAUGUAUGCAAGGAGCAGAUAAGCAAUCAGUUGUCCAAUGGAAUGUCAUCCAGUGUAACAAAGAGGAAAAAAACACUAAGGUAAAAGAAAAGUGCCAAUACAUGCUUAUAAAGAGCUAAUAGAAAGUGUGUGAUGUUACCUACACUGGUG
rnacentral:lncRNA from 1 species